UACGUAGGGCGCGAGCGUUGUCCGGAUUUAUUGGGCGUAAAGAGCUCGUAGGCGGCUUGUCGCGUCGUUCGUGAAAACUUGGGGCUCAACCCCAAGCUUGCGGUCGAUACGGGCAGGCUAGAGUUCGGUAGGGGAGACUGGAAUUCCUGGUGUAGCGGUGAAAUGCGCAGAUAUCAGGAGGAACACCGGUGGCGAAGGCGGGUCUCUGGGCAGUAACUGACGCUGAGGAGCGAAAGCGUGGGGAGCGAACAGG
rnacentral:rRNA from 1 species